rnacentral:lncRNA from 1 species
GCCCAUGAAAUCCACUGACGUGCAUAGAAACAAAGGUCGUCAGGGGAAGCAAGUAAAAGUGGUGCUGGUUUUACUUCUCUGCCAAUGCGCAAUGUAAACGCAGCAAUCUGAUUCGUGAGGAAUGCAAGAACUUUCGCAAUGUAAACGCAGCAAUCUGAUAGGUGCCCGAAACCUAUCGAGCCUCUUUGCAGAUAGUUAGUUGUUUCUUGUCUUUCCUCCCUGGCUAGGCCGAUGAAUGCUCUGCAGUUGCUGCGAGCGCGGCUCCUGCUUGGUCCUGCUAGCUAGUAUAGAUUUAUGCUUUUCAUGCGCCUCUCUUUUUAAUAUAACGGGCAGCUCUUCUAUUGGUUCGUUAGUUAAAAAAACGCAGCAAUCUGAUUAUCUUUUUCCACAUACUACUAGAAGGGUUAGCAAUUCUGUGUUAAUUAUUCGAUUCCCAUUUCACUCUACAUUUUGGCUGAAUGUCUUAAUACUCACUAUAUACUAUUAUCGAUGGCAAUGUGGAGCCAUGUUUUCUGUGGCUUCGUAAAUACCUUAAAUGUGAUAACUCCAUCUAUAUUGUUUUGGUUUCGGCAAUUUAAUGGGCAAUCUGGAAAGCCAGAAAUAGAGUGUGCUUUGACAAUGUAUGCUUGUGAAAUCGCCUAACGAGAUUAUUUCACAUGCGGGGCUUUUAAUUUUCUCUUGGGCAGGCUUAGGCAAGAAAGAACUCCAAGAUCUCCUUCAAGAGGGCGCCAAGCUGCUUGUUCGGGCUACAAAUACAAGAGGAGGAAAUUAGAUCUCUGGCC